GGAAGAGUGGCAGAGCUGGUUGAUUGCACCGGUCUUGAAAACCGGCGUACCUGAGAGGGUACCGGGGGUUCGAAUCCCUCCUCUUCCGCCA
rnacentral:tRNA from 1 species